rnacentral:rRNA from 1 species
UGGGGAAUUUUGCACAAUGGGGGAAACCCUGAUGCAGCGACGCCGCGUGAUUUAGAAGGCCUUCGGGUUGUAAAAAUCUUUUCUAUGGGAAGAAAAUGACAGUACCAUAGGAAUAAGGACCGGCUAACUACGUGCCAGCAGCCGCGGUAAUACGUAGGUCCCGAGCGUUGUCCGGAUUUAUUGGGCGUAAAGCGAGCGCAGGCGGUUAGAAAAGUCUGAAGUGAAAGGCAGUGGCUCAACCAUUGUAGGCUUUGGAAACUGUUUAACUUGAGUGCAGAAGGGGAGAGUGGAAUUCCAUGUGUAGCGGUGAAAUGCGUAGAUAUAUGGAGGAACACCGGUGGCGAAGGCGACUCUCUGGUCUGUAACUGACGCUGAGGCUCGAAAGCGUGGGUAGCAAACAGG